AAUAGCUAUAACCUUUGAACUAGAACAAGUAUUUUCAAAAAUAAUUUGUUAACCCGCUAGUCAAGUAAUAUUCUCAGUUUCUUGAAUAUGCUGAAUAUUUAAUAUUUCUAUAUUUACUAUGAACUAUCUCAUUCCAAUUUUAACCUUAAAUAAAUAGAACUGUAUCGUCAAAAAAAGCUAUAUUUCCAUUUAAGUCUAGUUAAAUCCAAUAAUUUACAUAAUGUGAAAACAGUAUAGGACCUAAAACAGAAACCAAUUACAAAACUGAACUAAUAUCGUGUUGGAACAAGGGGUGAUAUUUUAUUAUUUAUGCGCCCACCGGUUUUGUGCUAAUUUGGUCGUGUAUUGGAACAAACCUAAUGGUUAUUUUCUCCAUGCCACAGUUCGUUAGUAUAGUUUUUUUUACCAUAUCAGAAAUAGCUAUAACCUUUGAACUAAAAGAUGCAUUUUCAAAAAUAAUAUGCCCAUCCGAUAGUCGAAUACUAUCCAAAGUUUCUUGAAUAUCUUUUCCAAUAUUAACUUUUU